rnacentral:rRNA from 1 species
CAGCCGUAAACUAUGCGCGUUAGGUGUAUCGGUGACCACGAGUUACCGAGGUGCCGAAGGGAAACCGUGAAACGUGCCGCCUGGGAAGUACGGUCGCAAGGCUGAAACUUAAAGGAAUUGGCGGGGAAGCACCACAACGGGUGGAGCCUGCGGUUUAAUUGGACUCAACGCCGGGAAGCUCACCGGAUAAGACAGCGGAAUGAUUGCCGGGCUGAAGACUCUGCAUGACUAGCUGAGAGGAGGUGCAUGGCGUAGACGUCU